UACGUAGGGUGCGAGCGUUAAUCGGAAUUACUGGGCGUAAAGCGUGCGCAGGCGGUUUUAUAAGCCAGAUGUGAAAGCCCCGGGCUCAACCUGGGAAUGGCAUUUGGGACUGUAAGGCUGGAGUAUGGCAGAGGAGACUAGAAUUCCUGGUGUAGCAGUGAAAUGCGUAGAUAUCAGGAGGAAUACCGAUGGCGAAGGCAGGUCUCUGGGCCAAUACUGACGCUCAGGAGCGAAAGCGUGGGGAGCGAACAGG
rnacentral:rRNA from 1 species